AGAAUCAACGCUGGCGGCGUGCCUAACACAUGCAAGUCGCACGAGAAAGGGGACUUCGGUCCCUGAGUACAGUGGCGCACGGGUGAGUAACACGUGAAUCAUCUACCUUCGAGUGGGGAAUAACUGAGAGAAAUCUUAGCUAAUACCGCAUAAUACCUACGGGUCAAAGCAGCAAUGCGCUUGAAGAGGAGUUCGCGGCAGAUUAGUUAGUUGGCGGGGUAAUGGCCCACCAAGACGAUGAUCUGUAUCCGGCCUGAGAGGGCGCACGGACACACUGGAACUGAAACACGGUCCAGACUCCUACGGGAGGCAGCAGUGGGGAAUUUUGCGCAAUGGGGGAAACCCUGACGCAGCAACGCCGCGUGGAGGAUGAAAUAUCUUGGUAUGUAAACUCCUUUCGAUGGGGAAGAUAAUGACGGUACCCAUAGAAGAAGCCCGGCUAACUUCGCGCCAGCAGCCGCGGUAA
rnacentral:rRNA from 1 species